rnacentral:rRNA from 1 species
AUGAACGCUGGCGGCGCGCCUAACCCCUGCAAGUCGCACGAUUAAAGCACCUUCGGGUGUGUAUAAAGUGGCGAACGGCUGAGUAACACGUGGGCAACCUGCCCCUCUCAUUGGGAUAGCCACGGGAAACCGUGGAUAAUACCGAAUACUUCGGGACUUCCGCAUGGAAGACUCGAGAAAGCUCCGGCGGAGAGGGAUGGGCCCGCGGCCUGUUAGCUUGUUGGUGGGGUAAUGGCCUACCAAGGCAAUGAUGGGUAGCUGGGUUGAGAGACCGACCAGCCAGAUUGGGACUGAGACACGGCCCAGACUCCUACGGGAGGCAGCAGUGGGGAAUCUUGCACAAUGGGCGAAAGCCUGAUGCAGCGACGCCGCGUGCGGGAUGAAGGCCUUCGGGUUGUAAACCGCUUUCAGCAGGGACGAGGCGAAAGUGACGGUACCUGCAGAAGAAGCCCCGGCUAACUACGUG